rnacentral:rRNA from 1 species
UACGGGGGGGAGCAAGCGUUUGUUCGGAUUUACUGGGCGUAAAGGGCGCGUAGGCGGUCGUGACAAGUCACUUGUGAAAUCUCCGGGCUUAACUCGGAACGGUCAAGUGAUACUGUCGGACUAGAGUACAGAAGGGGCAACUGGAAUUCUCGGUGUAGCGGUGAAAUGCGUAGAUAUCAGGAGGAACACCGGUGGCGAAGGCGGGUCUCUGGGCAGUAACUGACGCUGAGGAGCGAAAGCUAGGGUAGCAAACGGG